GCGUGCUUCUGGACCAGCAGAAAUAAACUCUCUCAUCACUUAUGUACCAGACACAUCUCAACCCACAGGCCUCCAGCAGCCACAGUCAAACCAACAAAGCAAACCAGAGACUUACUCGCUCAUUACUUUAACUUCCCAGCCUUCAGGCCUUCAGCAGCCACAGUCACACCAAGAAACCAAACCAGAGACUUACUCGCCCAUUACUUCAACUUCCCAGCCUGCAGGUAACA